rnacentral:rRNA from 1 species
AUGAACGCUAGCGGCAGGCUUAACACAUGCAAGUCGAGGGGCAGCGGGAUGUAGCAAUACAUUGCCGGCGACCGGCGGAUGGGUGCGUAACGCGUAUGCAACCUACCUAUACAGGGGAAUAACCUUUCGAAAGGGAGACUAACACCCCAUAGUAUUGAUUUAAGGCAUCUUAGAUUAAUUAAAUAUUUAUAGGUAUAAGAUGGGCAUGCGUAUGAUUAGCUAGUUGGUAAGGUAACGGCUUACCAAGGCGACGAUCAUUAGGGGUUCUGAGAGGAAGGUCCCCCACACUGGUACUGAGACACGGACCAGACUCCUACGGGAGGCAGCAGUGAGGAAUAUUGGUCAAUGGGCGCAAGCCUGAACCAGCCAUGCCGCGUGCAAGGAAGACGGCCUUAUGGGUUGUAAACUGCUUUUACAUAAGACUAACCGUAUAUUUGCGAAUAUACCUGAAUGUAUUAUGAGAAUAAGGAUCGGCUAACUCCGUGCCAGCCGCCGC